CCUACGGGUGGCAGCAGUGAGGAAUAUUGGUCAAUGGACGCAAGUCUGAACCAGCCAUGCCGCGUGCAGGAAGACGGCUCUAUGAGUUGUAAACUGCUUUUGUACGAGGGUAAACACAGAUACGCGUAUCUGUCUGACAGUAUCAUACGCAUACGGAUCGGCUAACUCCGUGCCAGCAGCCGCGGUAAUACGGAGGAUUCAAGCGUUAUCCGGAUUUAUUGGGUUUAAAGGGUUCGUAGGCGGUCGGAUAAGUUAGAGGUGAAAUCCCGAGGCUCAACUUCGGAAUUGCGUCUGAUACUGUGCGGCUAGAGAGUAGUUGCGGUAGGCGGAAUGUAUGGUGUAGCGGUGAAAUGCUUAGAGAUCAUACAGAACACCGAUUGCGAAGGCAGCUUACCAAGCUACUUCUGACGUUGAGGCACGAAAGCGUGGGGAGCAAACAGGAUUAGAUACCCCGGUAGUC
rnacentral:rRNA from 1 species